rnacentral:tRNA from 1 species
UGCAGGGUAGAGCAGUGGUAGCUUGCUUGGCUCAUAACCAAGAGGUCGGGGGUUCGACUCCCUCCCCUGCAACUA